AUUUUAAUAGCUUAUAUUAGAGCAUAAUAUUGAAGAUAUUAGGGAGACCUUGGUCUUAAAAUA
rnacentral:tRNA from 1 species